GCCGGGCGCAGUGGCGUGUGCCUGUAGUCCCAGCUACUCUGGAGGCUGAGGUGGGAGGAUCACUUGAGCCCAGGAGUUCUGGGCUGUAGUGCGCUAUGCUGAUGGGGUAUCUGCACUAAGUUCAGCAUCAAUAUGGUGACCUCCCGGGAGCGAGGGACCACCAGGUUGCCUAAGAAGGGGUGAACUGGCCCAGGUGGGAAAUGGAGCAGGUCAAAACUCCCAUGCUGAUCAGUAGUGGGAUCGCACCUGUGAAUAGCCACUGCACUCCAGCCUGGGCAACAUAGCGAGACCCUGUCUCUA
ensembl:misc_RNA Metazoa_SRP Metazoan signal recognition particle RNA